AGUGCAACUGCUGGGUCAUAUGCUAAGAGUAUGUUUAAUUUUGUAAGGAAUUGCCAAACUGUUUUCCAAAGUGGCUGUUCCAUUUUGCAUUCUCACCAGCAGU
rnacentral:pre_miRNA from 1 species